rnacentral:rRNA from 1 species
CCCUUAGAUGUUCUGGGCUGCACGCGCGCUACACUGAUGCGUUCAACGAGCUUAUAACCUUGGCCGAAAGGUCUGGGUAAUCUCCAAAUUUCGUCGUGAUGGGGAUAGAUUAUUGCAAUUAUUAAUCUUCAACGAGGAAUGCCUAGUAAGCGCAAGUCAUCAGCUUGCGUUGAUUACGUCCCUGCCCUUUGUACACACCGCCCGUCGCUCCUACCGAUUGAAUGGUCCGGUGAAGCGUUCGGACCGUGGCCUUUGGACGGUUCGCCGUCUGUUGGCUGCGGGAAGUUCGUUAAACCUUAUCAUUUAGAGGAAGGAGAAGUCGUAACA